GACGAACGCUGGCGGCGUGCCUAAUACAUGCAAGUCGAACGAAGCUGUUUUAACUGGUGCUUGCACCGACUUAAACAACUGAGUGGCGAACGGGUGAGUAACACGUGGGUAACCUGCCCCAAAGCGGGGGAUAACAUUUGGAAACAGAUGCUAAUACCGCAUAACCACAGAAACCACAUGGUUUCUGUGUCAAAGAUGGUUUCGGCUAUCACUUUGGGAUGGACCCGCGGCGUAUUAGCUAGUUGGUAGGUAAUGGCUUACCAAGGCAAUGAUACGUAGCCGAACUGAGAGGUUGAUCGGCAACAUUGGGACUGAGACACGGCCCAAACUCCUACGGGAGGCAGCAGUAGGGAAUCUUCCACAAUGGACGAAAGUCUGAUGGAGCAACGCCGCGUGAGUGAAGAAGGUUUUCGGAUCGUAAAACUCUGUUGUCAGAGAAGAACGUGUGCGAGAGUAACUGCUCGUGCAGUGACGGUAUCUGGCCAGAAAGCCACGGCUAACUACGUGCCAGCCGCCGCAGUAA
rnacentral:rRNA from 1 species